AAAUGAAUUGACGGGGACCCGCACAAGCAGCGGAGCAUGUGGUUUAAUUCGAAGCAACGCGAAGAACCUUACCAGGGCUUGACAUGCCUCUGACCGGUUUAGAGAUAGACCUUUCCCUUCGGGGACAGAGGACACAGGUGGUGCAUGGUUGUCGUCAGCUCGUGUCGUGAGAUGUUGGGUUAAGUCCCGCAACGAGCGCAACCCCUGUCUUUAGUUGCUAACAGAUCAAGCUGAGCACUCUAGAGAGACUGCCGAUGAUAAAUCGGAGGAAGGUGGGGAUGACGUCAAAUCAUCAUGCCCUUUAUGUCCUGGGCUACACACGUGCUACAAUGGUCGGUACAACGAGGAGCAACUUAGCGAUAGGAAGCAAAUCUUAAAAAGCCGAUCUCAGUUCGGAUUGCAGGCUGCAACUCGCCUGCAUGAAGUCGGAGUUGCUAGUAAUCGCGAAUCAGAAUGUCGCGGUGAAUGCGUUCCCGGGUCUUGUACACACCGCCCGU
rnacentral:rRNA from 1 species